CCCGUGGGGGGUGCUUACACAUGCAAGUCGAACGGUGAAGCCAAGCUUGCUUGGUGGAUCAGUGGCGAACGGGUGAGUAACACGUGAGCAACCUGCCCUGGACUCUGGGAUAAGCGCUGGAAACGGCGUCUAAUACUGGAUAUGAGACGUGAUCGCAUGGUCGUGUUUGGAAAGAUUUUUCGGUCUGGGAUGGGCUCGCGGCCUAUCAGCUUGUUGGUGAGGUAAUGGCUCACCAAGGCGUCGACGGGUAGCCGGCCUGAGAGGGUGACCGGCCACACUGGGACUGAGACACGGCCCAGACUCCUACGGGAGGCAGCAGUGGGGAAUAUUGCACAAUGGGCGAAAGCCUGAUGCAGCAACGCCGCGUGAGGGAUGACGGCCUUCGGGUUGUAAACCUCUUUUAGCAGGGAAGAAGCGAGAGUGACGGUACCUGCAGAAAAAGCGCCGGCUAACUACGUGCCAGCAGCCGCGGUAAUACGUAGGGCGCAAGCGUUAUCCGGAAUUAUUGGGCGUAAAGAGCUCGUAGGCGGUUUGUCGCGUCUGCUGUGAAAUCCCGAGGCUCAACCUCGGGCCUGCAGUGGGUACGGGCAGACUAGAGUGCGGUAGGGGAGAUUGGAAUUCCUGGUGUAGCGGUGGAAUGCGCAGAUAUCAGGAGGAACACCGAUGGCGAAGGCAGAUCUCUGGGCCGUAACUGACGCUGAGGAGCGAAAGGGUGGGGAGCAAACAGGCUUAGAUACCCUGGUAGUCCACCCCGUAAACGUUGGGAACUAGUUGUGGGGACCAUUCCACGGUUUCCGUGACGCAGCUAACGCAUUAAGUUCCCCGCCUGGGGGAGUACGGCCGCAAGGCUAAAACUCAAAGGAAUUGACGGGGACCCGCACAAGCGGCGGAGCAUGCGGAUUAAUUCGAUGCAACGCGAAGAACCUUACCAAGGCUUGACAUACACCAGAACGGGCCAGAAAUGGUCAACUCUUUGGACACUGGUGAACAGGUGGUGCAU
rnacentral:rRNA from 1 species